GGUUUUUUUCCAUUACAGUGGCCGUUAUUUCCAACAACAGUAAAAGAAGACCAUAAAAGGCAUGGCUGCCAAACUGUGAGUGGAAUGUAUUGCCCCAAAAGUGGAGGAAAUGCCAGCUCAGCACCUGCCUCCCAGAGCCAAGUGCACACAGCCCAGGGGAAAGGGCAGAGCGAAGACCCACCGGCCAUGGAGAGGAAUUCGAGCUGCAGAACGUCUGGUCCCUGUUUGUACUCUUAUUCUACAAAAUUGCAGACUACUAUCAGAGGAUACAGCAUUCUCAAAGAUGCCUGGGUGUCAGAUUUUCCAAAGGGAACGUGAAAUGUCACCAAAGCGUUUCCAUUAAGGGGAAGAAAGGACCUCCGGGGUGUUAAUCCAGCUCUUUGAGAGGCCAAAAAUCUCAGGAGGCCUCACAACACCCCAACCUUUACAACAACUACCAAAGCUGUGUGCUUGCUUCAAACUGCUUGUAAGUGAAACAACUGGAUGAGACGUACAAUAAAAAGGUGCCUGAGGACAGAAGCUUAAUGACAGAUGAGCUAGGAGAUUUAUGGGCUCUUGAUUGGCAACAACUCAGCAGCAUGUGUGUUGUGGUUCAAGGUGACCACAGGUUUCUGUCACUGACUGCUCUUCCAACAAUUCUCAAAUAUCAGGUGCUGCAACAAAGCUUCUUUAUCCCACUGUCUUCAGUGUGGAGGCUGAAGUACGACAUGUCAGCCUGAGAUGCUGCAACCUGAGUUAAAAAAGCCUUUGCUUUCAGAAGCCUGAAUCCCCAGUGCCUCACUGCUGGUGCAGUCCCUGCUGGCUCUGCAGCACAGAGCUGAGGCACCCACGUUUGGCCAGUCUUGCAGAUCCUGCCAGUCACACAGCACCAAAGCAUGGAGGGACAUCAGCCAGUCUGGCAAGCAGGGAUGUAGGCCAAGAUGCUGCUGCAAAAGGAGCACAGUAUCAUCACACCUGAUUAAAUGAGGGAUGGAGACGUGCACCAAGGAUGCUGGCAGAGCAGCCCUUCCCUGGAGCCAAGAACAGCCCUGCUGGAAUUUGGGAGCCAGGCUGGAAAGUGUCCCUGCAGUUCAGCAUGUCCAAGAGUGGCACAUCAAGAGAACAGCAGGACAUGAAAAAGGUACACCCAGAAAGCUGCCUCAUGUUCUAACAAGCCAUUUGCUGUGAGUCAAGAGUUUUUAAUGCUGCGUUCUUUGUUAUUUUGAAUAAGGGCAGUGAUAGAAACAAGACCCUAGACAUUUCUGGCAGAUUCUAGGAUGAAGAAAGCUUCAAGAAAUUAUCAGAAUUUGUAUGUUAGUAGUCCUAGCAUCUCCCUUCUUUCUCCCUCUUGCAUUGUAUUCUACCCUGUUAAAUGUUCACAUGGUUUCAAUUUCCUAUUCUGACACUAGCAGUUGACAAGGAUCAACUCCACUCAUGUACAUCUUCAUGAUGAUGCUCUAGUCGCUGAAUUCUCAGAUGGAAGUGAUCUAAAUAGUUGGCCUCAUGUAGUCCUUUUGUGCCGUAUCUCCAUAAACUCCCAAAGAGCUGUGAAAACACUGAAGGUGAAUAGAUCUCUUCCUUUGGAGCAUCUUUCAAGACAAUGCUAUUCAUUGUGUGAGGAUGAGGGAAAAUGCAUAGUUGGUAGCAGUGAUUUACAGAUGAGACUCAGUAACUUCAUCUCAACUGUAUACAAGGUAAGAUGCGCGCGCGCACACAUAUUUUACAGAUUCCAGGAUUCUUGACAUAAUUAAUUACCUGCCAUGUUCUGAGUGAUUAUCACUUGAACAAGAAUAAUUUUCCUGUAGAAGUUCAAUGUGGGAGUAAUUAAUAUAUUUCCAGGGACAGUUAAAGAAAGAGGUUUGAUAUUUCACCUCACGGCUAGAUGGAAAUGACACUAGUGCCCACAUUCCAAAAUAUUUUAAAAUUUCUAAAGGGACAGAAAUGUAACAUCAGAUGUACAGCACCACAGUGCUCUCUUAUAUGCUAUAUAUUAUAUUAUUGCCAGUAAACUGUAAAUAAUGUAUUCUGGUUUCCUUUUUUUGUGAUGUUUUUGAUAUUUUUUCCCCCCAUUAUGAGUAUAUUCCAAAAACACAGAGGAAAGUUUUGAUUCUAGUAAAUAAAAAUAUAUACCUAAUUUUUUACUGAGGGAAACAUCAGAAACAGUCGUAGUUGGACUAGAUCAUUGUAGGUCCCUUCCAACUGAAAUAGUCUAUUUUAACAAAUUAUUUUGCUGCUGGUCAGUCACAGUUCAUAAGCAUUUGUGAUGACUUACAACAACCCUGAGAAAGGAGACUUCUUUGUGCCAGUAAUCAUCAGGGAGGCUGACGACAGAUUCAGCAGGUGGUUUUCUGCCCUGUCCGUGUGGAUACUGCCCUUGAGUCAAUUAAAAUUCAGUUGCUUUGGAGACAGACUGAAAUGCUGUUAUCCAAGCAGAGGGACAGAAAGGACCAAGGAGCUAUACUUCACAUGCCCUGCACAGUCAAGCCCACUUUCCAUCUGGCUAAUGGAAAUUCGACAGGAAAGGACAAGGGAAGGUGUUUCUUUCUUGAAAGAAAAGGUGAAUAAAGUGAGUAUCUUUAAGUGACUCCAUGAAGACUUGUGUCUGGCAGUGACAGAGGAUUAGUGCAGCCUGAAUGGAGCCCAUGAUGCUGGGAGGGGUAGGAACUGCAUCUGAGCAGUAAAGGAAGACCUGAGGGCACAAACACUUCCAAGUGCUUGUGUGGUGUGAGACACCAGUUAUAAAUAAAACAACUGUCUUGUCUAGAUAAUUGCUGGAGAUCAGUAAAACAUCUGUCAGAAUUAAUUGUUUCAGUCUAGAAUCUGGGAAAGUUGGUUGUUUGGGUUUUUUUAAGUACCUUUUUUUUCAACUGCAGUCUGAAGUUGCCAGUUAAAACUUCCCAACUAUGCUAUGAAUUAUAGUAUUUCAAAGCAGUAUUUCCACUGUGUUGCAUAUAUUUUUCAGAGGGGAAAAGAAGCCAGAUGAUCCAACAGAACAAGGCAAUCAUCUCCUUCAGCAAACAUCGCUGCCUCAAGAUUGACAGAAUAUUAGUGACCAGUAUUCAAGAGGCAGCAACAUCCUUCAUUCUUUGAGCAUGAAUUCAGCUUCCUGCACUAAAGCAGUACAAUUUGUCUUGCUCUGCAUCACAGAAGAGAUCCAUCUUUAUUCCAGUUCUUAUUUAUUUGUUUAUUUGGGCAAAUGACUGGUAGAAUUAAACUGAUACAGAUCUAGAGCCUGCAAAGCACCCCUUAA